CUGUUUGGCCUUGUAGUCUUCUCCUCCUCCAUCUUUGCAACACAAAAGAGUUCCAGAGCCAUCAGCGAAUAACAAAAGGUUACCUAUGGAAUAUGUAAUCCCAACAGCCCAAAGAUCUGUCACACCCUCCAAUCAUUCUUUUUCACCAAAGGGGAGCUGUAUAUUCCUGCUGCAUCUGGAGUGCAUUCAGCCCAUCUGGAGACAAUUAUUAUUUGAUGCCCAGUGGGAACCACUGUUAAGAAAAGAAACUGGAAGAAAUGAACUUCAAGAACAAGACUGAAAAGCAGAGGGUUGGCGAGAAAAGGGAAAACUUCAAUCAGAUCUAUAUAUCAAAGUGAACUUUUUACAACAUUCGAAUUCAAUGUAUGAACAACUACUUUACAACACAUCACUGUUGUUUAGCUUAAUUGAACAUUUUUGCUGUUUACUUAGAAUCAAGCACCACUGAACACAAGGGACUUCUGAAUCACUAUGUAUGGAGUUUAGAAAUAUUGGAGAAAUUAUUUGGUUCACAUUUCUAAGGGAAAUACCUAAUUUGCAUUUUGAAGGUAUAAUUGAACUGCAAAUAUCCUUCAGCUUACAUGAUUUUCUUAAGUUGACAAUGCAAAAUGUAUAUCUUAAAGAAAGUAUGUACAAAAAUCCAUAUUUUAGGAGAAAUGUGUUCAAUUUAAACACGGGCUUUCAUUUUAAAAACAGUGUGGAAUGGUCUUAAGACUAAAUAUGCAAACCUAAUCCAAACUAGAAAUAGAGUCAUCCACCUAUUCCCUAAUAUUUUGCCCUAUCAUUUUAAUACGAUUUGUAGACAAUGUUCUAGGAUUAUGUUUGGCAUUACAAAUGGAUAGAUUGACAGGAUGGCAUAAAAGAAUGAAUUUCUGAUGUUUCUAUAUAUUACUAUAUCUCACAAUGUCCUUCCCAGAGUAUCUUACAGUAGAUGAAAGACAGGCUGGAAAACCUCCACUCCAUUUCAAGUGUGAGGAGGCACCUAACCCAAAUCAGGUUUUUGGAAUCUGAAGGGCUAGAGAUUUUGUUGCUUUUCUAUAAUAACAUUCUUAAGAACUGGAUAAUAAUAAUAUCGCAUUACUACAGAACUUUGCUCUGAGAUCUGUGCCAUUAAAUGUAUAUAUACUGUUGUAAAAAUGAUUUCCCAUAAACAUUUUCAGUAUACCUGA